GGUGGUAGUCACACACAGGGGAGACAGUCAGCAGGGUGGUCACACACACAGGGGAGACAGUCAGCAGGGUGGUAGUCACACACACAGGGGAGACAGCCAGCCGAGAGAGACGGACGCUCAGGACAGGAGACGCCAUGGUGUGACUGAUCAUUAGCGCCUGCCGCUAUGUGGCACGCAAAAUAUCCCAGAGCAGGAGAGAAGAGGAGGAGGAGAAAGGGGCGGCCAACGCGUCCGUGAAGCCGACAUGUGUUCUGCGCCAAGGGAACAUGAAGGAGAAGACUCCACCGCCUGCAGCUUCUACCCCAUUGACCUCUGACACGACAGAAGGAUUGCUCAGCGCCUCCGCUUCCCCAUCCAAUAAUCUGGCACCAUAUUAAUUCCCCCCCCGAAGCCAAGAAGCUGGAAAAGAUAACAUGGACCUCAAGAGGCUUUUGUGUCCACAACACAGCAGAAAAAUGAUCCUCCACCCCGUAGCCCCUGUGUACAGAGGUGGGGAGGAGGGGAGAACGCCCGCUGCUGUGUAACCGAAUAAAGAUGUACCCCGA